rnacentral:rRNA from 1 species
AUACGUAGGUGGCAAGCGUUGUCCGGAUUUACUGGGUGUAAAGGGGGCGCAGGCGGGAAGCUAAGUUGGAUGUGAAAUACCGGGGCUCAACUCCGGAGCUGCAUCCAAAACUGGUUUUCUUGAGUGGAGUAGAGGCAAGCGGAAUUCCGAGUGUAGCGGUGAAAUGCGUAGAUAUUCGGAGGAACACCAGUGGCGAAGGCGGCUUGCUGGGCUCUAACUGCCGCUGAGGCCCGAAAGCGUGGGGAGCAAACAGGAUUAGAUGCCCUGGUAGUCCACGCCGUAAACGAUGAUUACUAGGUGUGGGGGGUCUGACCCCUUCCGUGCCGCAGUUAACGCAAUAAGUAAUCCACCUGGGGAGUACGGCCGCAAGGCUGAAACUCAAAGGAAUUGACGGGG